UGAACAGUAUGUAACGCUUUGAAAAAAAAAAAAAAAAAUGGAGCAGCAGAGCGUGAUGAAUGGAGAGCAAUGAGUCGGUGAUUAACCGCUCCUCCUCGCUGGGGACUGCAACUCCCCUCCGAGACCAUUCUGAU